UUUCUUCCUCUGAUCGAAUCUGUAACCUUCAUUAGCAGAUUCAUUCUGUGGUUUCCCUGAUCGAACUAGAAGUUACCAAGGAACCAUGCAUAGCACUGAAUAAGAAGCCACCUAAUACCCCAGCUAACAUGUGAAAUGGGUGCAUAAGCGAGAUCAAGAAAACUGUGGUUAAAGACUAUUCAUUCAAUUUCAAGAUAAAGAUGAUAUUAAUCCAAAGUGCAUUUUUAAGGAUGAAAACAAUGGUCAUAUGAAACUUAUUCAAUAUUGUUUAAACAAAGUAAGAGAUGAUAAACAGAAUUAAGUUUACCACAACAGAUAAUUUACAGCAUGAAUGGUUAAAACUAGAGUUGUUGAGGUCUCAUAGUUGAGAACCCCUCCAAACAUUGGCGUAUGCGACUAAUUGCAGCGCGCACACGGUAUUCUUUAGUAAAAGGCGAAAGAAUAGUUCGCUUUGUGCUCACUGCGUGGCUGCGUGAGUUUUGCAGUGUCACCACGCUGCAGUUUUAUAUGACGACAACCUCGAAUUUACUCGUUCUCUAUCGAUGUGGGACUCUCCUAGUCGCCUCACUUCUUAUUUCUCUGUCAAAUAUUGCUCUCUUCUUCACCAGUCAUUCAAAUAGAUCAAUCAAUUUAAGCUGCACUGUGCACUUUGUUGUUUGUUAAAUUGAAGAUUUGUUUCGCUUCAGUUUCUUGGUGGAUUCGGAUAUAUCACUGAUCCUUUUGGUUACCACCAAUAUCCCCAUUUAUUUACUAUUUAAUUAUAUAAUACGGAUAGGAACUUCAAUGAUAUAUGGACAUGGCAAUGGGAAGAGGGCUGGAGGCAGCAAAUUUGUUAAGUGUAGUACAAAUGUUCAAAAUCUAUAAUAAAAAAAAAGUAAUAUUGCAUGACUGUUAGAACUUAUAAAUGAUUGAAACUUGAGUUGUUGGAGCUUCAGAAAAGAGAACCCCACGAUAUGCAGUGCACACACGGUAUUCUUUAGUAAAAGGCGAAAGAAUAGUUCGCUAUGUGUUCACUGCGUGGCUGCGUGAUUUUUUCAGACCGACUGUGCUGCAUUUGUAUAUUGCGGCAACUUUUGAAUUUACUCGUUGUUUAUCGAUGUGGUAACCUUCAGAUCGCCUCACUUCUUUCUUGGUGAUUCUGAAGAAUUAUAUGCUCACAAGGUGACUUGAAUUUCCUAUGCAGGUUUGGUUCUGAACUUUGCCCAAAUUACUUACAACUACAUCCAAAUUAACUAUUUAUACAUAUUCAACAGAUUUUACUUGGCUUAAAUAAAAGUUACCUGGUUGUAUAAUAUUGUAGUUCCGCCCUUGACUUUAAGUUUGACCUAAUAAUGGCAUUGAGUUGUGUGAUGAAACACUACUUGUAAGUUAUGGUAUGGUACGUGCAGUUUCUAGUUGUUCAAAUUACAUCUUUGUAUGGUAGCUUUAAACAGUGGCGGAUCAAGAUUUAAAGUUAAUGGGUUCUGAACUAGCCAACCGAAUCAGUAUAUAUACUUAUAUACAUCCAAACUCGUAUCCAAUAUUGUAGCUCUGCCCUGACAUCGAAACCUCUGAAAUUAGUUAUCGUCCCUACUGCCUAAGUUAGUAUAAGUAUUCCUUGCUUUGUUUGACCUCCACUUUAGCUGUGUUUCUGGCAAUCAAUUAACUAACUUUGUUGCUAAGACACAAGGGCAAGUACCCAAAUUGUACCAUUCAAAUACGCAAUGAUAAGUCAAAAUCAAGAAGCUAUAACUAUGGUGUAGAAAUAGCUCAUUAGAAAAAUGGAUACACUUCACAUAAAAUGAGUGAAAGACUUGAAGGAAAAACAAAGGGGGAUAUAAACUAGCAUUUGAGAACAUGGAACAUUUGUUUGUAAUCGGACCAAUAAAUUGGAGUAUGGUUCAAAAAUGUUAAAAGGCUAGAGUUGUUGGGGUCUCAAAGUUGAAAACCCUCCAAAAAUUGGCGUAUGCCACUAAUAGCAGAGCGCACACGGUAUUCUUUAGUAAAAGGCGAAAGAAUAGUUCGCUUUGUGCUCACUGCGUAGCUGCGUGAGUUUUGUUGUGAUAAUGCGCUGCACGUGUAUAUGUCGGCAAUGUUCGGAUUUACUUCUUGUUCAUCGAUGUGGUUUGGAUUCUAAAUUUCAUUAUCUAUGAUAGAAUAGAUGCUUGGAUAUAGCAAUUGCAAUGAUAAAUUGAAUCAAGAAGCUGAAAACUGAAAUCAUACAUAAAUUGAGCAAAAGAAGAUCAAAUGGAAACAAG